UUUUUAUCAGUUUCAGUGUAAAUUAUAAAAG
rfam:Pan troglodytes isolate Yerkes chimp pedigree #C0471 (Clint) chromosome 17, whole genome shotgun sequence.